GGAUGUGGGGGCAAUCUGCUAUGUCUGCUACCUCACUGAUUGCUGGGGUUGAUUCAGCUGAUCUGACUGGCUAGGUGGGUGUUCCCUUCCCCCCUCACCACUCCAUAUGCAUCCCUCCUGAAGCUGCAAAAGGACAGCCUUCCUCAAUAGAGACAUACCCUUCAUCAGUCACUUUUCUCCAGUCCCCAUUAGCUUAAUUGCACAAAUUCUUGCUAGGAGUCCUGCGUUUUCCAUAACACUUCUGUACAG
rnacentral:sRNA from 1 species